rnacentral:rRNA from 1 species
UUCGACCCGUUCGGUGGCUAAGCUUACGCGAUAAGUGAUCCGCCUGGGUAGUACGUUCGCAAGAUUAUUACUCAAAGGUAUAGUCGGGGACCCACACAAUCGGUGGAGCAUCUGGUUGAAUUCGAUAAUAAGCGGUAUACACUCACCAGGACUUGACAUCCCGAGAAGAUCGCAGAAAGGUGAUUGUGCCUUUAGGAACUCGUUGACAGAUGCUGCAUGAUGGUCGUCAGCUCGUGCCUUGAGGUGUUCGGUUAAGUCCGUAAACGAGCGCAACCCAUGUCCAUAGUUUGUAUGUUUCUAUGGAGACUGCCGGCUCUAAGUCGGAGGAAGGUAUGGAUGACGUCAAAUCAGCAUGGCCCUUAUGUCCUGGGCUACAAAGGUGCUACAAUGGACGAUACAAAAGGCAGCCAAGGAGUAAUCCGGAGCCAAUCCUUAAAGUCGUUCUAAGUUCGAAUUGAGGGCUGAAAUUCGCCCUCAUGAAGUUGGAAUCGCUAGUAACCGUAAAUCAGCAUGUUACGGUGAAUACGUUCCUGGGUCUUGUACUCACCGCCCGUCAAGUCACGAAAGAUGGGGGCGCCCAAAGUCCCUUUAGCAUAUGCGAGGGCCUAAGGCGAAACCAUUGAUUGGGA